rnacentral:rRNA from 1 species
UACGUAGGGUGCGAGCGUUAAUCGGAAUUACUGGGCGUAAAGCGUGCGCAGGCGGUUUGUUAAGUCCGCUGUGAAAGCCCCGGGCUCAACCUGGGAAUGGCGGUGGAAACUGGCGAGCUAGAGUGUGGCAGAGGGGGGGGUGGAAUUCCACGUGUAGCAGUGAAAUGCGUAGAGAUGUGGAGGAACACCAAUGGCGAAGGCAGCUCGCUGGGACGGUACUGACGCUGAGGCGCGAAGCGUGGGAGCAAACAGG